rnacentral:rRNA from 1 species
GACGAACGCUGGCGGCGUGCCUAAUACAUGCAAGUCGAACGGACUUUUCAGAACGUUUCUUUGUGAUAGAUAGGGGCGGAGGGGGGAGGAAGGCGUGGGCAACCUUCCUGAAACUCGGGGAUAAAUGCGGGAAACAGGUGGUAACAGCUGCUAAUAUCGUACUUCGCUUUAUGGCACGUUGAAUGGCGGCGAAAGGUGCUGCUUGCAGACGGUCCCGCGGCGGAUUAGGUUGCUGGUGAGGUAACGGCUGGCAAAGGCGACGAUGCGUAGCCGUACUGAGAGGGUGAUCGGCCACACUGGGACUGAGACACGGCCCAGACUCCCACGGGGGGCAGCAGUAGGGAAUCUUCCGCAAUGGACGAAAGUCUGACGGAGCAACGCCGCGUGAGCGAAGAAGGUCUUCGGAUCGGAAAGCUCUGUUGUCAGGGAAGAACAAGUACCGUUCGAAAAGGGAGGUACCUUGACGGUACCUGACCAGAAAGCCACGGCUAACUACGUG